rnacentral:rRNA from 1 species
UACGUAGGGACCGAGCGUUGUCCGGAAUCAUUGGGCGUAAAGAGCGUGUAGGCGGCCCCUUAAGUCCUGCGUGAAAUCCUGCGGCUCAACCGCAGACGGUCGUGGGAAACUGGAGGGCUAGAGUGCGGGAGAGGAGAGUGGAAUUCCCGGUGUAGCGGUGAAAUGCGCAGAUAUCGGGAAGAACACCCGUGGCGAAGGCGGCCCUCUG